CAAUCACAGAUUUCACAUAAGUGGAAGGUUUUUUGUUUUUUUCAAGUGAAAAACUGCUCUCUUGUCUCCGAUUUUUAACUUUUUUUUUUUUUUUUUCCUUCCAGCAUCAUUAGUCAACAACACACGGCCAAGGGUUAAGUUCUGACAUUUGAAAGGCCAUUAUAAGACCUUCACCUCUGUGAAAAUCACUGUAGCUACAGAUCACAAUCAACUCAUGCAAGUGAGACCGCACAGAAUGUUGUCCACGAGGGUGCAAUUUACAUGUUGAAAAGAACGUGUACUUCAGUUGAAGCCAUAACGCUGCAGGGUUUCGAAAGCAGAAUUAGAAAUGGCAGCCUAAGGGACAGAUGUGUCAUUUUGACCACUGGCUGGUCAUGAUCUCAAGGUCCUGGGAUCAAGCCCUUCAUGGAUCUCCAUGCUCAGCGUGGUGCCUGCUUCUCCCUCAGUCUCUGCUGUUCCCCUACCUGCUUAUUUUU
rnacentral:lncRNA from 1 species